UGUGUUCGUACUAAUCAGUAUGGAUUAAAUGAUGGCAAAGGAUGAGGAAGGGGGAUAGUUAAGUGAAAAAGCGCAAAAAGAACCCCAUCUUCCAUCUCCUCCGCCUACCACUAUAAUGCCAUUUCUAACCGUAUUAGUGGCAUUUCCAUCGCCGGUGCAACAUAUUAUUAUUAUAUUUUUUUGCACAAUCUUCAAAUACGUUUCGUGUCCGUUCCACGAGCCUUUUGUUCAACUAUUUCUACUCCGCGCGGUUUCCGUUAUCUUUCUCACAAAACGUUCAUUGUUCGAAACGAUGGACAGCACCUAACCUUAUACAGGUAUAAGUAGGUGUACGUAAGAAAAAUCGGACG